rnacentral:rRNA from 1 species
UUCGGGACGCCGGCGAGUGGCGAACGGGUGAGUAACACGUGGAGGCCUGCCCUGGGGUGGGGGAUAACAACUGGAAACGGUUGCUAAUACCGCAUACGCCUUACGAGGGAAAGAUUUAUUGCCCUGGGAGGGUUCCGCGUCGGAUUAGCUUGUUGGUGGGGUAACGGCCUACCAAGGCGACGAUCCGUAGCUGGUCUUAGAGGAUGAUCAGCCACACUGGAACUGAGACACGGUCCAGACUCCUACGGGAGGCAGCAGUGGGGAAUAUUGCGCAAUGGGGGAAACCCUGACGCAGCGAUGCCGCGUGGGUGAAUAAGGCCUUAGGGUUGUAAAGCCCUUUCAGUGGGAACGAUGAUGACGGUACCCACAGAAGAAGCCCCGGCUAACUCCGUGCCAGCAGCCGCGGUAAUACGGAGGGGGCGAGCGUUGUUCGGAAUUAUUGGGCGUAAAGAGCGCGUAGGCGGCUUGUCAAG